rnacentral:rRNA from 1 species
ACACGUAGGAGCCAAGCGUUAUCCGAAUUCACUGGGCGUAAAGCGCGUGUAGGCGGCUUAUUAAGUUGGAUGUGAAAGCUCCCGGCUCAACUGGGAGAGGACGUUCAAGACUGGUAGGCUAGAGGGCGACAGAGGGAGGUGGAAUUCCCGGUGUAGUGGUGAAAUGCGUAGAUAUCGGGAGGAACACCAGUGGCGAAGGCGGCCUCCUGGGUCGCACCUGACGCUCAGACGCGAAAGCUAGGGGAGCGAACGGGAUUAGAAACCCCGGUAGUCCUAGCCGUAAACGAUGUAGACUUGGUGUUGGUGGGGUAAAAGCCAUCAGUGCCGAAGCAAACGCGAUAAGUCUACCGCCUGGGGACUACGGCCGCAAGGUUAAA